GAUCAUGUACGUUUCAAGAUAAGUAGAAAUUGAAAUUUUGAGAUGUAGAUCUAUAUGUAUACAUAUAUUGAUAUAUUUUGAACUAUUAAUGUUGAUAAGGAACAAAUAAUCCAAGUCAUUUCUAUGAAGCUAAAAAGGGGUAAAUUAAUUAUUAAUUUAAAGGAGCCAUGUUAAUGUGAUCGUUUAUGAGAGUUAGUUUAUCUGACAAAAAGGAGUAUUCUGACUUACGUCAUGGGCUGAAAUAGCGCCAUCUACGCUUUCCUAAUUCCGACAUAGCAGUAGCAACGAAUUGGAUGUUCGCACCGAAAUCUUGUCCUAAAUUACACCUGUUAUUGAUACGAAGCCAACCCGUUUGCAACAAUAAGGAGGCAAGAAGUUUUCACGGAGCAAGUGUGAUGGAAUUAGUUGACAUAGAAUAAAUUAGCAAGUCAACCCUACUACGACUUUUCAUUGACUGUUUCUUCA